rnacentral:rRNA from 1 species
CGUCAGGGUAACCUGCGAACUCGAAUGAACGAACGGGAGAUUCAUCGUCAUUCGGCGGGCGGCUAUGCCGUUGUGCGAUGGGUAGCCCUCCGGCGAUCUCGGUCGUCGGUGUGAGUUGCUCACGCGCGCGGUGUACGCAUCACGCUCGUCGACGGCGUGCACUUCUCCUUAGUACUGCAUCGCGACCCACUCGAUGUCGGCCUAAGCGUCGUCCGGGAGCCCGCGGCGUCUCGCGCGCCACGGACCGUGACGGAUGCCGGCCGGCUGUCGGGUGGUAGUUGACACGAAACACGCACGUGCGUGUAUCUAGUCUGCGAUGUUUUUGUUUCGGGCACUCGCAGGACCCGUCUUGAAACACGGACCAAGGAGUGUAGCAUGUGUGCGAGUCACUAGGUGUUAAACUAAACCGAAAGGCAUAACGAAAGUAAAGGCGUGCGCUUGUCGCGCGCUUGGGGAGGAUGGCGGUGUGCUCUCGUGGCCACCGCCCGCACUCCCGAGGCGUCCCGUUCGCAAUUUGUCGAUGUGGGCGCGCUCAGAGCACAAAUGCUGGACCCGAAAGAUGGUAACUAUGCCUGGUCAGGUCGAAGUCAGGGGAAACCUGAUGGAGGACCGUAGCGAUCUGACGUGCAAAUCGAUCGUCGACUGGUAUAGGCGAAGACUAAUCGA